rnacentral:rRNA from 1 species
GACGGGGGCCCGCACAAGCGGAGGAACAUGUGGUUUAAUUCGAUGAUACGCGAGGAACCUUACCCGGGCUUAAAUUAUGCAUGAAUUAUCUGGAAACAGGUAAGCCGCAAGGCAUGUAUGAAGGUGCUGCAUGGUUGUCGUCAGCUCGUGCCGUGAGGUGUCGGCUUAAGUGCCAUAACGAGCGCAACCCUUGCUGUCAGUUACUAACAGGUUAAGCUGAGGACUCUGACGGGACUGCCAUCGUAAGAUGUGAGGAAGGUGGGGAUGACGUCAAAUCAGCACGGCCCUUACGUCCGGGGCUACACACGUGUUACAAUGGGGGGUACAGAAGGCUGCUACCUGGCGACAGGAUGCCAAUCUCUAAAACCUCUCUCAGUUCGGAUUGGGGUCUGCAACUCGACCCCAUGAAGUUGCUGAUCUGCGAUUACUAGCGUCGACGCGGCAGUCGUGGAGG